UGGGGAAUUUUGGACAAUGGGCGAAAGCCUGAUCCAGCAAUGCCGCGUGUGUGAAGAAGGCCUUCGGGUUGUAAAGCACUUUUGUCCGGAAAGAAAUCCUUGGCUCUAAUACAGUCGGGGGAUGACGGUACCGGAAGAAUAAGCACCGGCUAACUACGUGCCAGCAGCCGCGGUAAUACGUAGGGUGCAAGCGUUAAUCGGAAUUACUAGGCGUAAAGCAUGCGCAGGCGGUUUGCUAAGACCGAUGUGAAAUCCCCGGGCUCAACCUGGGAACUGCAUUGGUGACUGGCAGGCUAGAGUAUGGCAGAGGGGGGUAGAAUUCCACGUGUAGCAGUGAAAUGCGUAGAGAUGUGGAGGAAUACCGAUGGCGAAGGCAGCCCCCUGGGCCAAUACUGACGCUCAUGCACGAAAGCGUGGGGAGCAAACAGGAUUAGAUACCCUGGUAGUCCACGCCCUAAACGAUGUCAACUAGUUGUUGGGGAUUCAUUUCCUUAGUAACGUAGCUAACGCGUGAAGUUGACCGCCUGGGGAGUACGGUCGCAAGAUUAAAACUUAAAUGAAUUGACGGGGUCAUAGCUGUUUCCU
rnacentral:rRNA from 1 species